rnacentral:rRNA from 1 species
UACGUAGGGGGGCUAGCGUUGUCCGGAUUUAUUGGGCGUAAAGAGCGUGUAGGCGGCCAGGUAGGUCUGCUGUGAAAACUCGAGGCUCAACCUCGAGACGUCGGCGGAAACCAUCUGGCUAGAGUCCGGAAGAGGAGAGUGGAAUUCCUGGUGUAGCGGUGAAAUGCGCAGAUAUCAGGAAGAACACCCGUGGCGAAGGCGGCUCUCUGGGACGGUACUGACGCUGAGACGCGGAAAGCGUGGGGAGCAAACACGG